CAAAGAGACGGAGACUGGCGAAAGUGCCCCAAACCAGGGAGGAGGUGAUCCGGGGAUUUGAAGAAGUCCUACAUCCAACCCCGUGUAGAACAAGGUCUGUAUCACCUUACAAAAGAUUUAAAAGUCAGAUCGACAGGAGCGUGAUAAUGGCACGAUUCAGAAGAAAGUGAUUGAACAUCCCUCUCCUGGCACUCUUAACAGGUU
rnacentral:lncRNA from 1 species